GCUGGGUUAGCUCAGUCGGUAAAGCCUGAGACUCUUAAUCCCGGAGUCAUGGGUUCGAGUCUCAUGUUGUGCA